UCGUGCUAGACGGGGAGGUAGCGGUGCCCUGUAGCCCGCAAUCCGCUAUAGCGGGGUCGAAUUCCCUCGUCUGAGGUCCACCGUUCCGGGUUCUUGAUUCAGUAAGAAAGCGGUGUUGAUCGCCAGGUCCUGCGCAACGGGUCCUUGCCGAACCCCGUCAGGACCGGAAGGUAGCAGCGGUAGGCGAUUCGAUUCGUGUGCCGCAGGGCCACCUGGCGGGAGCUGGCGCUUUCUGGACGCCCCGAAGCGGCAGAUCAAAGCGGGGUGCACGG
rnacentral:SRP_RNA from 1 species